AAAGUCGUAACAAGGUCUCCGUUGGUGAACCAGCGGAGGGAUCAUUACCGAGUUAUUACUCCAAACCCUUUGUGAACCUUACCUAUGUUCUGUUGUCUCGGCGGGGCGCCAGGCCUCUGGCCAAACCCCCGCCGGCAGCAUAAAACUCUUGCAUUUUAUAGCGGAUUAUAUUUCUGAAUUAAACACAAAACAAAUCAAAACUUUCAACAACGGAUCUCUUGGUUCUG
rnacentral:misc_RNA from 1 species